GCCCGCGUAGCUCAAUCGGAUAGAGCGUCAGACUCUUAGCGCACACGGGCGAUCUGAAGGCUGCGAGUUCGACCCUCGCCGUGGGCU